rnacentral:rRNA from 1 species
CCAAUAGCGUAUAUUAAAGUUGUUGCAGUUAAAAAGCUCGUAGUUGAAUUUCGAGAUCAAAUUGUUGGUCGUGCCUUGGUACGUACUGGCAUUAUUGGUUUCUCCCUUCUGACGAACCAUGAUGUCAUUAAUUUGGUGUCAUGGGGAAUCAGGACUGUUACUUUGAAAAAAUUAGAGUGUUUAAAGCAGGCUCGCGCUUGAAUACAUUAGCAUGGAAUAAUGAAAUAGGACGUUUGAUUCUAUUUUGUUGGUUUCUAGGAUCGACGUAAUGAUUAAUAGGGAUAGUUUGGGGCAUUAGUAUUCAAUUGUCAGAGGUGAAAUUCUUGGAUUUAUUGAAGACUAACUACUGCGAAAGCAUUUGCCAAGGAUGUUUUCAUUAAUCAAGAACGAAAGUUAGGGGAUCGAAGACGAUCAGAUACCGUCGUAGUCUUAACCAUAAACUAUGCCGACUAGGGAUCGGAUGAUGUUAAUUUUUUAAUGACUCAUUCGGCGCCUUACG